GUGAGGAAUAUUGGUCAAUGGGCGAGAGCCUGAACCAGCCAAGUCGCGUGAAGGAAGAAGGAUCUAUGGUUCGUAAACUUCUUUUGCAGGGGAAUAAAGUGCAGGACGUGUCCUGUUUUGUAUGUACCCUGAGAAUAAGGAUCGGCUAACUCCGUGCCAGCAGCCGCGGUAAUACGGAGGAUCCGAGCGUUAUCCGGAUUUAUUGGGUUUAAAGGGUGCGUAGGUGGUUUGAUAAGUCAGCGGUGAAAGUUUGCAGCUUAACUGUAAUAAUGCCGUUGAAACUGUCGGACUUGAGUGUAAAUGAGGUAGGCGGAAUGCGUGGUGUAGCGGUGAAAUGCAUAGAUAUCACGCAGAACUCCGAUUGCGAAGGCAGCUUACUAAGCUACAACUGACACUGAAGCACGAAAGCGUGGGGAUCAAACAGGAUUAGAUACCCCAGUAGUCC
rnacentral:rRNA from 1 species